CGAUAUGAUUCUGUAAUUAGGCCUGUCAUAAUUGUCAGCACCAGGCCCACUGGGCUCUUAAUCUGGCCCUGCUGCUCCCUAUUCACACCUGAGACCUUGUAACACUAAUGAAUCACAUGACACCAGGGAGGGAAAUGUCUAAUUGGGCCCAAUUUGGACAUUUCCACUUAGGGGUGUACUCACUUUUGUUGCCAACGGUUUAGACAUUAAUGGC